AAACCUAAGAAAAAUUAGACUUUCAUGCCCGCAGCCUCAACCCCUAAAACAACCAUAAAAACUUAAAACCCUAAACAAAAAAAAAAAAUCCUAAAAUCCGUAAAAACCUUUGAGCCUAAAAAGCCUAAAAUUCUAAAACCUUAAAACCCUAAAACUGUAUACCGUAAACCCUACAAUCCUAAACUCUAAGCCCUCAAAUGAACAAAUUUUUAA
rnacentral:lncRNA from 1 species